rnacentral:sRNA from 1 species
GCGGCGUCGCCAGGAGGAGCGCGCGGGCACAGGGUGCCGCUGACCGAGGCGUGCGAGGACUCCAGAAUUGGAGGCAUGAUGAAGACUCUGCUGCUGUUUGUGGGGCUGCUGCUGACCUGGGAGAGUGGGCAGGUCCUGGGGGACCAGACGGUCUCAGACAAUGAGCUCCAGGAAAUGUCCGAUCAGGGAAGUAAGUACGUCAAUAAGGAAAUUCAAAAUGCUGUCAACGGGGUGAAACAGAUAAAGACUCUCAUAGAAAAAACAAACGAAGAGCGCAAGACACUGCUCAGCAACCUAGAGGAAGCCAAGAAGAAGAAAGAGGUCAGGAGGAGCCGCGACCGCCACCGUGCCUUGACCAUCCCACUGGAGGGGAGGGAGGGGGUCACUGCGUGGUGCCUUGCUGGGUUGCCAUGGUGACCCGCAGUCCUCCCAGGCUGUGUCAGCUGAUGCUGGGGCUGCAGUUAAGAAGCAGGGAAGGUUCAUUUGCUUCUGAAAGCAUCAGGGCGUGAGAUCUUGGAUCUGGUUUUGUUAUGAGCCUGGCCCAGGGCCUAAUGCCCAGAUUCAUUUCAAUAGAUGUUUCUAAGCCCUGAUCAUGUGCUAGUUCCAAGCAGGCUCUGGAUGGGGUGGUGGCAGGGGCCCAGACAGGGGUGGCGUCCAACCUUCAGGAAGCUUAUCUAGUAGGGGUGAUACAGUUAGGGUUAAGGCAGGCACACUGCAC